AGAUUUGUUUAACACGGUUCAUGAUAUGAUAUGAUAUGAUCCUUUCAAACAUUGGGUAAAUGUCCUAAAGUAGACACCGUAGAAAAUGACAAGCCUGCCCAUCUAUGCUCACCGCAUCUUUAUGACGUUGACAGUAGUCGUCUAACGCAAGGCUUGUAUUUGAAGGGUCAUUGGUUUGCUUUUUUUGAGGUCCAGACAGAUCCAUGGGGAGCCAAAAGGCCACUAGAAGGGUUUGGUCACAUCUCAAGGGCUGUGGCGGUCAUGACAUUUUGUCAGACAGUUAUUGUCAUGCAAAAGACCGCCAGUCUCACGGGUCUGUUGACAGCCCCUCUCUCUGUGCGCUGGAGAAAGGAAUGAAGGAGAGCGAGGAGGAGAUGGAAACGCAUGGUGGUGAGUUUCAACCUGUCGUUGAACUUCUUUCUUCAAAUUGAUCGAUCGCAGUGAGAGCAGGCGGCUCGGAGCAGUUCGGAGCUCUGGCAUGAGACAACGUGUCUCUAUCGUGACACACCGACGUUCAAGGGAACCAACAACAACAAAAAAUUUACAAAUAAAUAAAAGAAGCCUCUGCUUUGGG
rnacentral:lncRNA from 1 species